GGGAGGCAGCAGUGGGGAAUAUUGGACAAUGGGGGAAACCCUGAUCCAGCGACGCCGCGUGUGUGAAGAAGGCCUGCGGGUUGUAAAGCACUUUUAGUGGGGAUGAAAAGCUCAGGGCUAAUACCCCUGGGUCUUGACCUAACCCACAGAAAAAGCACCGGCUAACUCUGUGCCAGCAGCCGCGGUAAUACAGAGGGUGCAAGCGUUAAUCGGAAUUACUGGGCGUAAAGCGUGCGUAGACGGUCAUGUAAGUCGGGUGUGAAAGCCCCGGGCUCAACCUGGGAAUUGCAUUCGAGACUGCAUGGCUAGGGUGCGGAAGAGGGAAGCGGAAUUUCCGGUGUAGCGGUGAAAUGCGUAGAUAUCGGAAGGAACACCAGUGGCGAAAGCGGCUUCCUGGUCCAGCACCGACGUUCAGGCACGAAAGCGUGGGGAGCAAACAGGAUUAGAUACCCUGGUAGUCCACGCCAUAAACGAUGAGAACUAGACGUUGAAGGGGU
rnacentral:rRNA from 1 species